GAAGGCAUAGCUCAGUGGAAGAGUGUGUGCUUAGCAUGCACAAGGUCCUGGGUUCAAUCCCCAGUACCUCCA
rnacentral:tRNA from 1 species